rnacentral:ncRNA from 1 species
UUGCAGGUGUGAGUCCUGCCGCAGUAGUUGGUUAGUUUGACUGCGUAGCGAUGGCGUACAUGUGGAGGGCGACCGAAACAUGGGAGCAACGCCGGAUAAACGUGUCCCCCGACCCAGUCAGUGGGAGCGCGCAAGUAUGCAGCCCGUAACGAAA